rnacentral:tRNA from 1 species
GUUUUUAUAAUUUAAAUAUAAAAUAUUGGUCUUGUAAAUCAAAUUUAAGAAAUAUCUUUAAAAACU